rnacentral:rRNA from 1 species
AAUCAACGCUGGCGGCGCGCUUAACACAUGCAAGUCGAACGAGAAAGGGGAGCAAUCCCUGAGUAAAGUGGCGUACGGGUGAGUAACACGUGGAUGAUCUACCUCUUGAUGGGGGAUACCUCUGGGAAACCGGAGACAAUACCGCAUAAGCUCGGGAGAGGAAAGCCGAAAGGCGUCGAGAGAGGAGUCCGCGGCCGAUUAGCUAGUUGGUAGGGUAAAGCCUACCAAGGCAAAGAUCGGAGCCGGCCUGAGAGGGCACACGGCCACACUGGCACUGAAACACGGGCCAGACUCCUACGGGAGGCAGCAGUGGGGAAUCUUGCACAAUGGGGCAACCCUGAUGCAGCGACGCCGC